CGCCCGUGUCCGGUGCAGCAGAUCGGGAAGCAGAGCCCGGGGAGGUUGGGGCCCUCGGGCGGAACGCAGAGAAGCAUCCCCUGGAGCAGCUUUACCGGGAGGGCCCGCUGCUGGGGAGCGGCGGCUGCGGCAGCAUUUACUCGGGGACACGCCUCGCGGACGGCGCCCCGGAACACCAGAGUACAGCCCACCAGAGUGGAUCCUCUUCCACUGCUACCGUGGCCAUUCAGCAACAAUCGGGUCCCUGGGCAUCCGGCUCUAUGAGGUGGUCUGCAGGGACCUUCCUUUCUACAGUGAUGAGGACACUGUCAAGGGCCAGCUUUUCUUCCCAUCCACACGUCUCAUGGUAUUAAGAAGCCAAGAAAAGCAGACGGUUUCCCUGUGACUGUAGCAGAGUAGGGAGCAUAGCUGAUGAGAUGCUUCUGCUGGUGCUGGGGGAAAUUGUGGAGGAAGUGGCUGAGCGCUCUCCAUCAUAUUUGAGAAGUCUUGGCAGUCUGGUGAAGUUCCCACACACUGGAAAAGGGGAAACAUCCCCCCUGCAGCUUAGUGGCAUCGUGGUCCUCCUGCAAACUGGGGCACAACUGUGGUGUCCUGGAACAUGACAUCAAGCUGGAGAAUGUCAUCAUGGGAUAUAGGCACCACUGGGGCGAAGCUGAUUGGCUUUGUUUGCAGCACCUUCCUUGAGGACACUCUCUGCACCCAGAUGAAAAAAGAUGAAAGAUGAAAAAGACCCGGUGGGGGCUGGGGGGAUGCUCCUGGUCCCAGGCAUUGAGGGUUUAGCCUGGCUGGGCACCAGAGGUUCCCUGCUUUGCUGGGGUUGAGGAGAGUGGGAUUAAUUUUUCAGCUGGCUGCCAAGUAGCUUUUUGGUGGGGGAGAGGGUGGAUGUUAAGGAAUGGGAACCAUGCUGGCUCCUGGCCUUGGUGACAGCCUCUGCUAGCCACCCUGGCCCAGGCUGGGGAAGCCAGCCCGACAAAAACAUGGCAAGGUGGCAGAGGACAGAGUUCCACACCCAUGUGCCGGCCGUUUUCGUUUGCAGGCCCUUGAGGAAAGGCUGGGGCUGAGGCUGGGAAAGUCGGGGUUUUUCCCUGCCUAUGGGGAGCUUUAUUCCUUGCAUGGAGUAGUCAAACCUUCCCCAGGCCUGUGAUACAUUGAUAACAUUUAAUGUUAUUCUUGUUUGCGACUCUUGGUUUUAAUUUACUUUAAUGCAAUUGUUAUUUGUUUUUUAAAGGAAGAUUCUACCACGUGCCUGGACCAGACUGGGAAGUGCUGGGACUGUGGAGUGGAUCCACUGCCAGUGCUACCCUGGCCAUGACCCUUCAAGACAGACAAGAACAUCAUCUGGGAUCAGCUUCUCUUCCAGCAGUGGGACUCUUGAGGGGCCCAGCACCUCAUCACACUGAAACAGCACCAUCGGCCUGCAAAUUUGGGGGGCAGGGGGGUGUUUAUUUGCUGUCAAAAAU